CGUUACUGCAGUAUUACAGAUGAAGGUUGUGCUGCUCUGGCUUCAGCUCUGAGGUCAAACUCCUCAUCACACCUGAGAGAACUGAAUAUUUACUAUAAUAAUCCAGGAGAAUCAGGAGUGAAGCUGCUCUCUGAUCUACUGAAGGAUCCACACUGUAAACUGGAGACACUACACAUUAAGGAUAAUAAACUCACCAGGACUGGCGUAUGACAGGAGUCUCACCUCAAACCUCUUUUCCAGGAUAAAGCAGUUUUGGUGAAGCGUUAGAACCCGUCCCACAUUUCCAGCAGGUUGGGAGCUGAAUCAUUCAUAUUCAGAUGUAGAAGUUCCAUAACAAUAACCGUGACUGAUCACAUCCUUUUAUCCACUCAGCUACAAGUUACUUCAGGCUUUAAUAACCUAUUUUACAAUCCAAAGUCAAAUCCUUCAGUGUCUACACACAACACAGAGAUAUCAUCACAUCAUCACACUGAUUACACAAAUACACAUCCAUGUGUUGUAGCUGUUUAUAGCUUAUUUUUAGCUCCACAUUUUUAUUUAACAUUUGUGUCUCCACUGAUGAUUGAUUAAUAGUUGUGAUACUGAUUUAUUUAUUUUUCCUCUAAAAAUGAUUUUCAGAGCUCUGUUCUUUGUUGUUUAUCUGUUUUUAAUGGUAACCAUGGUAAGAACUCUGUUGCUUGAGUUGUUGUUGUUAUGGUGAUAAAUUAACCUCACUUCUAUCUUACCAGUUCCUUGGGUACAGACCAGCAGGGUUCUUGUCCCAGACUUGAACAGUUUUUGCUGAACGAUAACUAGAUAUUUUGACUGUCUAAUAUAUUUAGAUUUUUUUAAACUGUAACUGAAAAGCUUUAAGUACAUGCACUCUAUAUAUUUGUCAUUUAAUACAGUUUUGUAUAUACGUUGUAUACAAGCACUGUGCACUUUAUUAGGAACACCUGUACACAUUCAUGCAGUAUAUUGGUAAUUUAUAACAUCAAAUAUACAAUAUAUAAGUAAAUAAGCAAAAAAUAAAGGUGUUUUUAAUUUA